GGGGAAUAUUGCGCAAUGGGGGAAACCCUGACGCAGCAAUACCGCGUGAGUGAAGAAGGUUUUCGGAUCGUAAAGCUCUGUUAUUGGGGAAGAAAAAAAGACGGUACCCAAGAAGAAAGUCCCGGCUAACUACGUGCCAGCAGCCGCGGUAAUACGGAGGGUGCAAGCGUUACUCGGAAUCACUGGGCGUAAAGAGCACGUAGGCGGCCUUGCAAGUCAGAUGUGAAAUCCAACGGCUUAACCGUUGAACUGCAUUUGAAACUGCAAGGCUAGAGUAUGGGAGAGGUAGGUGGAAUUCUCGGUGUAGGGGUAAAAUCCGUAGAGAUCGAGAGGAAUACUCAUUGCGAAGGCGACCUGCUGGAACAUUACUGACGCUGAGGUGCGAAAGCGUGGGGAGCAAACA
rnacentral:rRNA from 1 species